rnacentral:rRNA from 1 species
GAGUAGCUUGCUAUUUGCUGACGACCGGCGCACGGGUGCGUAACGCGUAUAGAAUCUACCUUAUACUGGGGGAUAGCCUUUGGAAACGAAGAUUAAUACCCCAUAGUAUUAUUUUUUGGCNUCAUUAAAUAAUUAAAGUUUCGGCGGUAUAAGAUGACUAUGCGUUCUAUUAGUUAGUUGGUAAGGUAACGGCUUACCAAGACUUCGAUAGAUAGGGGUCCUGAGAGGGAGAUCCCCCACACUGGUACUGAGACACGGACCAGACUCCUACGGGAGGCAGCAGUGAGGAAUAUUGGACAAUGGAGGCAACUCUGAUCCAGCCAUGCCGCGUGUAGGAAGACUGCCCUAUGGGUUGUAAACUACUUUUAUAUGGGAAGAAUAAGGUCUACGUGUAGAUCGAUGACGGUACCAUAAGAAUAAGCACCGGCUAACUCCGUGCCAGCAGCCGCGGUAAUACGGAGGGUGCAAGCGUUAUCCGGAAUCAUUGGGUUUAAAGGGUCCGUAGGCGGGCAUAUAAGUCAGUGGUGAAAGUCUGUGGCUCAACCAUAGAAUUGCCAUUGAUACUGUAUGUCUUGAAUUAUUGUGAAGUGGUUAGAAUAUGUAGUGUAGCGGUGAAAUGCUUAGAGAUUACAUAGAAUACCGAUUGCGAAGGCAGAUCACUAACAAUAUAUUGACGCUGAUGGACGAAAGCGUAGGUAGCGAACAGGAUUAGAUACCCUGGUAGUCUACGCCGUAAACGAUGGAUACUAGUUGUUUGGUUUUCGGACUGAGUGACUAAGCGAAAGUGAUAAGUAUCCCACCUGGGGAGUACGUUCGCAAGAAUGAAACUCAAAGGAAUUGACGGGGGCCCGCACAAGCGGUGGAGCAUGUGGUUUAAUUCGAUGAUACGCGAGGAACCUUACCAGGGCUUAAAUGUAGUCUGACAGCUUUAGAGAUAGAGUUUUCUUCGGACAGAUUACAAGGUGCUGCAUGGUUGUCGUCAGCUCGUGCCGUGAGGUGUCAGGUUAAGUCCUAUAACGAGCGCAACCCCUGUGGUUAGUUGCCAGCGAGUAAUGUCGGGAACUCUAGCCAGACUGCCGGUGCAAACCGUGAGGAAGGUGGGGAUGACGUCAAAUCAUCACGGCCCUUACGUCCUGGGCCACACACGUGCUACAAUGGUAGGGACAGAGAGCAGCCACUUAGCGAUAAGGAGCGAAUCUAUAAACCCUAUCUCAGUUCGGAUUGGAGUCUGCAACUCGACUCCAUGAAGCUGGAAUCGCUAGUAAUCGGAUAUCAGCCAUGAUCCGGUGAAUACGUUCCCGGGCCUUGUACACACCGCCCGUCAAGCCAUGGAAGCUGGGGGUACCUGAAGUCCGUCACCGUAAGGA